rfam:Thalassobacter sp. 16PALIMAR09 PM04_001, whole genome shotgun sequence.
UUGCCGAUGCCAAGCUGCCCGACAUGCAAGCGGGAUGGGAGCAAGGGAUAUCGAACACACUUGCAGGGCUCGCCGGUUUGAAUAUGGUCUAUGAAGCAG